GACAGAGGUGGCGAGCGUUGUUCGGAAUCACUGGGCUUAAAGGGCGAGUAGGCGGUGGAGCAAGUCUGAGGUGGAAUCCUACGGCUUAACCGUAGAACUGCCUUAGAAACUGUUUUACUUGAGUCAAUGAGGGGAGGGCGGAAUUCCUGGUGUAGCGGUGAAAUGCGUAGAUAUCAGGAGGAAGGCCUGUGGCGAAAGUGGCCCUCUGGCAUUGUACUGACGCUGAGGCGCGAAAGCGUGGGGAGCAAACAGG
rnacentral:rRNA from 1 species